rnacentral:rRNA from 1 species
UACGUAGGGGGCAAGCGUUGUCCGGAUUUAUUGGGCGUAAAGAGCGUGUAGGCGGCUUUACAGGUCCGUUGUGAAAACUCGAGGCUCAACCUCGAGACGCCGGUGGAAACCGUAAGGCUAGAGUCCGGAAGAGGAGAGUGGAAUUCCUGGUGUAGCGGUGAAAUGCGCAGAUAUCAGGAAGAACACCCGUGGCGAAGGCGGUUCUCUGGGACGGUACUGACGCUGAGACGCGAAAGCGUGGGGAGCGAACAGG